GCGGGCGUGGUGGAAUUGGUAGACACAAGGGACUUAAAAUCCCUCGAUCGAUAAGAUCGUGCCGGUUCAAGUCCGGCCGCCCGCACCA
rnacentral:tRNA from 1 species